UACGAGGGGGGCGAGCGUUGUUCGGAAUUAUUGGGCGUAAAGGGUGCGUAGGCGGUUUGGUAAGUCUUAUGUGAAAUCUACAGGCUCAACUUGUAGUCUGCAUGAGAAACUGCCGGGCUUGAGUUCGGAAGAGGGUCGUGGAAUUCCCAGUGUAGAGGUGAAAUUCGUAGAUAUUGGGAAGAACACCGGUGGCGAAGGCGGCGACCUGGUCCGACACUGACGCUGAGGCGCGAAAGCGUGGGGAGCAAACAGG
rnacentral:rRNA from 1 species